CCCCUUUGGAAUACAGAUCUGUUUCCUCCCACAAACAUCUAGCACUGAUCACUAAAGUAGCCCAAAGGACUAAUAUAUUAGGAGGCUAUCCUAUUUCCUCCAUGUGCCUCUUAGGAUGCCUUUGGCUGCUGGAAACAAGGGCUCCACUGAAGUUGAUUUAAACAAUGAGCCAAUUUACCAUCCCACAAAGCAGAGGCCCCAGGUCAGGAUCUUAGGGCUCAGUGUUGAUCAGCAAAGCCACCGUGGUACCCAGUCUUUCUAUCAUUUACUCUGCUGUUGACAGGGUGGGCCUCGGGCUUGGACUCUUGGGAAUAUCACAGGUGGAUGCUAAGCUUCACCGCCAGAAUCACCACCUGGAGGACUGGCUCAUGGCCACCCACCUGGAACAGCCAACCAGAACUUGACUCCAGCUCCAAACUCACCACCAGCAAGACCCCAAGACAAGUGACCUCUGGGCCUCUACCCAUAAACAGACACAAGGACAAGAACAUACUAUGUGGGAGUGCCGUGGGAUGAGGCCUUACAAAGAGCCCCAGACUUGUCCUGUGGGACAAGUCCUGUGGGGCUUACUAUUCUGUUGCAGGUUGUCUGUAGCCCUUUGCCUUGCAAUGACAGUGGCUCAAUACUAGAGCCGUGCCAUCCCCACCUCCCCAAGUGCCUAACCCAUGAUUGUUAGCUAUCAUGUUCUCAUUGCUGUUGAUGAAGAGACAAACAAGGACCUCAGCACCUUGGCUCAGGAAUAAACAGAGGUGACUCUGUCUACCUUACAACACAGUUGUCAGGAUUCACGAGGUAUAUGUGGCAGACCUGGCACCCAGCU
rnacentral:lncRNA from 1 species